CCUCCUGGAUUAAACAAAAUUUAGUUUACAAAGAAAAGAGGAUCCCAGGAAGGGGCUUUAUUUCUAACCAAAUUGUCUUUCUACAGUGGACCUCAUAAUGGGCAUUACAAACACACAUUUUUAAAUGGCCUCUCAAGCCUCACUUUCUAUUACCCACAGUCCUUUAAGGACUUGAGACUCUGCCAAAAUACCCAGUAGCCAUUUCUUCAGAAGCUCUGAGCUGAGUUGUCCAGAUUUCACACUGGGUGGGGAGGGCUGGUGGGAAGUCCUCCUGGUAA